rnacentral:rRNA from 1 species
AUUGAACGCUGGCGGCAGGCCUAACACAUGCAAGUCGAGCGGGGUUUUCGGACCUAGCGGCGGACGGGUGAGUGAUGCGUAGGAAGCUGCCCGAUAGAGGGGGAUACCAGUUGGAAACGACUGUUAAUACCGCAUAAUGUCUACGGACCAAAGUGUGGGACCUUCGGGCCACAUGCUAUCGGAUGCGCCUACGUGGGAUUAGCUAGUUGGUGAGGUAAUGGCUCACCAAGGCGACGAUCUCUAGCUGGUUUGAGAGGAUGAUCAGCCACACUGGAACUGAGACACGUUCCAGACUCCUACGGGAGGCAGCAGUGGGGAAUAUUGGACAAUGGGCGCAAGCCUGAUCCAGCCAUGCCGCGUGUGUGAAGAAGGCCUUCGGGUUGUAAAGCACUUUCAGCGAGGAGGAAGGGGUGUGUGUUAAUAGUACACACCUUUGACGUUACUCGCAGAAGAAGCACCGGCUAACUCUGUGCCAGCCGCCGCGGUAAUAC